rnacentral:hammerhead_ribozyme from 1 species
AGCUAGCUGAGGAGUCCCAAAUAGGACGAAAUGCGCAUCCUGGAU